AACUGUUGGGCUUCUGCCAAGGUUAAUCUUAUACCAUCUACUUAUGUAAUUGAAACAGUGUCAAUGGUAAUCCCCAGGGGCUCCCCUUCCUCUUCUUCCAAUAGAAUUAAUACGUUGUUUGCUGGUUUGAGGAACGACCGAGGAUUUCCUGUGGAAGUUCGGAACGAGACCCAAUAUCUUCCAAUGCUAUUGCCAUUAACCCAUGCUUCACCCUUUCCCAUGGAACCAAGGUUCAAUGCGACCGGAGUAUUUCCAACAGGAAUGUCAAAUAUAGUCUGCCAGGGCGUGAAGCUGGUUUAAGUAGCCACAAAUAUGUUCUCAUACCAUAUAGUAAUUGACAUAGCUUCCUUUUUUCGCAAUGAACAACGCAACAUGAAAUGCAAUGUCUUCAGCUGAUCUCAAGGUUGGGUCUCCACCAUAUACUUGAUACCUUUAGUGAAAAAUGAAGGCACUGAUUAGGCAUAACAUUUUUUUCAAUUACACUAUUGACUGCUGUCUGUAAAAGAUAACACAGAGUAACUAUAUAAUUCUGCUUAUAUAUGUGAUGUGUGAAAAUUUUGACUUAGUCUGUAGCAUGUGGUGAGAAUGUUACUGCUUGAUGAUGUUCCGAACGUGGUAUAUCUGGGAAAACAUUAUAUAGGAAUCAAUAUAAAUGUUGAUAUGUGAAUGUGUUUCAUUGGAACAUACUGGCUAACCCAGUUCUCUGUCCAAAUUGCUGGCUUAUUUGGUGAGUUCGGUCCUGCAAAUGUUUCUCCACAUCGAAGUCCAUUGCAUGCAUUGAUCUGUCGGUUACAAUGUUUGGUUAGUUAAUAGUCAUAGCUUGAGCAUAUGAUGCUUGUGAAAUCUAUUUUUCUUGAGAAAGGAAACUAACCACAGGGUCAGGAGCAUCGUCUUGCUUGCACAUCACCCAGGGCACACCAGUUUGAAGCCCUACGGCCAUGGCUGCAGCCCAGCGAAUGUAAGGUGGGCCCUUCUCGUGAAAAGCGGCUUCUACAUUUUGGUACUCAUUCUCAAUCUGGUUCAUUAUCAGAUCGAAAGAUGAUUCCAGGGACGUCAUGCAGCCAAAAAGGGAGACCACUGGACCAGAGUAACACAUUCAUCAAGCUCCAUUGGUCCAUUCGCUCUCAAUGAAAGGUCCAAUUCUAAGGCACACAUAAAGGCCUUGUGCUUGAAUUUCCUUUAUGAAUCCUACCAAAUCCUUCCCUCCACUGAAGUCAUACUGUAACAUGCAGCAGAGAGAACAAGCAUUACUCUAUAUUUUUGAAGCACACUGUGUCUGUAUGUGUGAGAAAAGAGGAGAGGUUUGAGCAUCACCUGCCCCUGAAUGGGCUCAUGAAGGUUCCAAAAUACAUAGGUCUGUAUCACGUCUAUUCCUCCUUCCUUCGCUUUAGCUAUUAAAGAUGGCCACAUCUGCAGAAGUUAAUAUAUGUUAUUUUUAUGCAUACGAUAAAAGCGGCUUUUUUUUUUUGGCCUUUGCCUUGUAAUUCAUGAACUGGAUAACUUCAUGGGAAGACAAGAAGUUGUUCGGUUGACAAUCGGCUAUGUUAGACAUAUGUGUGUGUCCAAGGUU